UACGAGGGGGGGCAAGCGUUGUUCGGAAUUAUUGGGCGUAAAGGGUGCGUAGGCGGUUUGGUAAGUCUGAUGUGAAAUCUAUGGGCUCAACUCAUAGUCUGCAUGAGAAACUGCCGGGCUUGAGUAUGGGAGAGGUGAGUGGAAUUCCUGGUGUAGCGGUGAAAUGCGUAGAUAUCAGGAGGAACACCUGUGGCGAAAGCGGCUCACUGGACCAUAACUGACGCUGAUGCACGAAAGCUAGGGGAGCAAACAGG
rnacentral:rRNA from 1 species